GUACAAUGUCAUAUGAUGCAACCCAUAAACAUUAUUGUUUUAAAUGAAUAAUUUAUAUUUGUAUUUGAAGAAAAAGCAAUGUGUACACUCAUUUUAAAGUAGUGUGUACACUCAUAUUUUAAGAAGCAACGAAUAUUUUUUAAACCAUGUAAAACCAACGUGAAAACAAACAGUACGUUUCUAAGAACUUGUCGCAAACUAAACUAGAUUGUUGCUUUUAUCUUAUGUUUCACUGACUUGAGUCUCAUUACAGAAUAUUAAAUUUUGUGGUUUAAAAAUGUGUUAACACUUUGCAGGAGACAAAGAGAGAAGCAUCGUGCCCAUCUGACCGAAAUUCGCAACUUGAGGGACUGUACUAUCAAUGCCUCGGGUCUCAUGUCUAAAUCCAGCCCCAGAGUGGAGAGCACCCUCCAGCUUCAAAAGAGCAGAAGAGCCCAUGGUUUCUCCUCUCCGCAGGCGGCCAGCAUAGUUCUCAGCAGCUCUAAAGUUUCCCUACCAAAUCAUAAUCGCAGUCUCUCCAUGGGGAAGCGCUGCAGAAGCUGCUCCUUCUCCUCAAGCCCCGCCCUAAAAAGCAAGGUAACCAAUUAUCGAGCUGUCUCAAAGUGGACUCCACCCAUCUCUAGAGCAGGCCAUCUCAGUGGAGGAUCUCGAGAUUCUCUUCAUUCCUAUAAACAUCUCCAGGAAGUAGAUGUCAAUGAGGUGAUGCCACAAUCUUUGAGAAGGUGCCAGUCUAACUCGGACAGCAAUCAACAAAGCAGUUGCAAUUUGAAUAUGCAAAUUAUGCUUGCCACCCAUUCCAAAGGAAAGAUGGGCUACAGCGAUGUUCCAUGCACUCGUCUCGACCAGGGAACGACCUUUCCUCCCCCUUCUUUCCGAGCCCACUCCGUACCCAUUAUCCCCUCCAUUCAGGGACCUGAUUUUGGGGAGGGGGGCAGGAACAAGCUGCAUAAUGGGGGUAGGGGAUCUUCUAACUACAACCUAAUCAAUCCUGAGACUGAGGCGGAGUCAGUGGCUAAUUCCAGCCGAUCACUUGCCAGCUCCUCUGUGGCAGUGCAGAAUCCACAGACACUCACCUGCUCCGAGUCUGCACUGAUGUCAAGGGGCCAAAUCAAACACAAAAGCCUUGUUACCUACACAACAGCCUUGGGAUCAGGUACAAGCUCCAGGAGAGCAAAGACUGUCAUUUCUAUGAGCGUUCUUGGAUCGGGGAUGAAAACCACGCAGUACGCCGCCAGCCUGCUGUCUAAGACUACCGGAGGACAGGCGGUUCGGUCUGCUUUCGAGGAAGGACAGCAGGAUGAUGGUUUACAAACCCCAUUUGUGGGGGAUAAAAAAGACAGCUUAUUUUCUGAUGGAGUUAGAGGUGUGGCCUGCCUCACAUAUCCCACAAGCUGAUUGGAUAAAUGCAAAGAUUGCUUUGGAAACUCCAUGUUGGUGUGGAUGGGGCAGGAACGUCCCCGCUUCUGUAAGACACUUACUUUUGGAACUAUUUUACUGCAUUGUGAAGUACAACUACUGACAACCGAAUUUAAAACACUGACUUACUUACGACAUGAUGUGAAUAGAUGAGAGAGAAUGAAGACUUUGGUGGGAUGUUGAUCUAAAGAGGUACUGCAGAGGAUUUAUAUGCCACUAUUUAACAAAAGCUUCAAUUUAGAAACCAAAUAGUGUGUCAUCUCAAUGUGUUUCUCUACUGUAAAGAAGAAAAAAUAUAAUAGAUGUCAAAACUAUAUGUAUGUCAUAUAUUCCUUGUAUAUGACAUGCGAAGUGACAAAAAAUAAAGAUGCAAAACAUGGUAAUGCA
ensembl:lncRNA